GAUGAACGCUGGCGGCGUGCCUAAUACAUGCAAGUCGAGCGAACAGAUGAGGAGCUUGCUCCUCUGACGUUAGCGGCGGACGGGUGAGUAACACGUGGAUAACCUACCUAUAAGACUGGGAUAACUUCGGGGAACCGGAGCUAAUACCGGAUAAUAUAUUGAACCGCAUGGUUCAAUAGUGAAAGACGGUUUUGCUGUCACUUAUAGAUGGAUCCGCGCCGCAUUAGCUAGUUGGUAAGGUAACGGCUUACCAAGGCAACGAUGCGUAGCCGACCUGAGAGGGUGAUCGGCCACACUGGAACUGAGACACGGUCCAGACUCCUACGGGAGGCAGCAGUAGGGAAUCUUCCGCAAUGGGCGAAAGCUUGACGGAGCAACGCCGCGUGAGUGAUGAAGGUCUUCGGAUCGUAAAACUCUGUUAUUAGGGAAGAACAAAUGUGUAAGUAACUAUGCACGUCUUGACGGUACCUAAUCAGAAAGCCACGGCUAACUACGUG
rnacentral:rRNA from 1 species